UAAGUAAGUUGGAUGGCCGCGUGCUUUAGGCAUGAGGAAAGUCCGGGCUCCAUAGGGCAAGGGUGCCGGGUAACACCCGGUGGAGGCGACUCCAAGGAGAGUGCAACAGAAAUAAACCGCCGUAAAAUUUACGGUAAGGAUGGAAAGGUGAGGUAAGAGCUCACCGCUUCACCGGCGACGGUGAGGGCUCUGUAAACCCCACUCGGAGCAAGAUCAUAAAAACAUUAUGGGGCUGCCCGUCCCGUUUUUGGUAGGUCGCAUGAGCGGCUGCGGCAACGCGUCGCCAAGAUAGAUGGCUGUCCACGACAGAACCCGGCUUACAGACUUGCUUAUGAU
rnacentral:RNase_P_RNA from 1 species